UUCAAGAUCGCCCACCCCCAGGCUGCUCCUUCUGGCUCCAAUCUGACCACAAGGGACUGGGAAUGUGUGACGGUGUUUUGCCUGUCUACUCUUGGCUCUCCUCCAGGAAACUCCUAGAAAGUCGAGACUUGAGGACUCUGGAUGUUCAGGAGGCGGAACGAGGCUGAAUGAGAGUCUCGAGUCUGUACCUUGUCAGGUGAUCCCAGGCAGCCCCUUUGGAGCUGAGCAGGACAAAGGACAAAGCAGGAAGGAGCCCUACAUGAGAUGUCAAGGAGCAGAUGGCGAACAGUGAUUCAGUCUUAAAACCCCAGCUUGGGCGACACCAUGUGGCAGACCUCGGUUACUGCAGUUUUUGUGAGCUCUUUCAACCAUAGGUGGGCCCCUGAGAGUUCGCCCUCCCCUUAGCCAUCCUGAUUGGUUAAAAGAAGAUUUAUGAAGACCAAUUAAACUCUGCCCUGGGAGCCUGGGGGUGGAGCCUAGCAUGUGUGAAGUCCCCUGGGUUCCAUCCCCAGGACCUAAAAACAAAUAAAAACUCUGCACAAGAAUAAUAAUCCUGAAAGCUG